UACGAAGGGGGCUAGCGUUGCUCGGAAUCACUGGGCGUAAAGGGUGCGUAGGUGGGUCUUUAAGUCAGGGGUGAAAUCCUGGAGCUUAACUCCAGAACUGCCUUUGAUACUGAAGAUCUUGAGUUCGGGAGAGGUGAGUGGAACUGCGAGUGUAGAGGUGAAAUUCGUAGAUAUUCGCAAGAACACCAGUGGCGAAGGCGGCUCACUGGCCCGAUACUGACGCUGAGGCACGAAAGCGUGGGGAAGCAAACAGGG
rnacentral:rRNA from 1 species